rnacentral:lncRNA from 1 species
AUGCAGCUUCAGACAGCCCCGACCCGGUCCCGGACCCGGCCCAACUGCCAGGGCGGCAGCGGACCGACCCCCCGGAGCAAGCGGCCCGCUCCCGCACUGGGUCCCCGCCAGCCCGCGAAGGGACAGCCCGGCCGGACGCCGGGGCUCCGCUCCGCCCGGAGCCGGCGCACGCACACGGGCACCCGGCGUCGACCGGCGCCGACGGAGCGCUCCCCGCGCCGCCGCUCACCUGCCGCCCCGCCCGCGCGUCCCGGCGGCCGAGCGGCCCGAGCAGGGCGCGCGGGACGAGGCCCGGCGCCGACGCCCGCCGCGGGGCUCCGGCACUCACCGGGCGGCCGCGAAGGCAGGUGCGCGGCGGCGGGCUACCUGUGGCCGGAAUAUAGGUCACCUGGGGCAACUCUUAUUCAGGCUGCUGGUAAAUUCAGGCGUGUUCUUUGUGUCUUAUUCCGGAGUUCAAGAUGAAGGCCCAGUGGCUACCUGGGGUAUGUUCUUGUGUCGGAGGUCAGAAACCAGCAGUCUCUUAAAGUCUAGGCUCAGAAUGGGCACACUGCUUCUUCUGUCCACAUUCAGCUGGUCAAAGAAAGUCAGAUGACCAAGCACAGCAUCUAUUCAGCAGGAUGAAGAGUCUUCUCAUGGAUUUGCAGGUAAUGAAUGUUUGCUGAACAAUAAUCUAAUAAUCCAAAUAAUCACACUUAUUAGUUAUUCAAAAUGAUAUGUUAAAAAGAGUUUGCAGAUUGAAAGAGGCACAUGGAAGGCUUCUGAGAUGCUGGUAAUGGUCUAUUUUUUACCUGGGUGGUGGUUACACAGGUGGGUUCGCUUGGCGAUGAUUCAUUGAGCUAUACAAUCAUUCAUGAUCUGUGUACUUUUUCUGUAAGGAUGUUAUACUUAAAAUAGAAGCUUACAUUAAAAAAAGAAAAAAGUGGCUAGUUGAGACAUUUUCAGUAUUUUUUAAGUUUUCUGAAUUUUUAGUUACUUUCUCUGAGAAGAUUCAGAUUAAAAUGAAUGGCAUGUUUCUUGAAUAGGAAAGUCUUACUUAAAUAAUUAUGAGGGGCCGGCCUGGUGGCGCAGCAGUUAAGUUUGCACCUUCUGCUUCAGUGGCCCGUGGUUCACUGGUUCGGAUCCCGGGUGCGGACCUACGCACUGCUUGUCAAGCCAUGCUGUGGCAGGCAUUCACAUAUAACGUAGAGGAAGAUGGAGACAGAUGUUAGCUCAGGGCCAGUCUUCCUCAGCAAAAAGAGGAGUAAUGGCAGCAGAUGUUAGCUCAGGGCUAAUUGUCCUCAAAAAAUAAAAAAACAAAAAAUAUCUAAAAAAAAUUUUUU